UACGUAGGGUGCAAGCGUUAAUCGGAAUUACUGGGCGUAAAGCGUGCGCAGGCGGUUAUGCAAGACAGAUGUGAAAUCCCCGGGCUUAACCUGGGAACUGCAUUUGUGACUGCAUAGCUGGAGUACGGUAGAGGGGGAUGGAAUUCCGCGUGUAGCAGUGAAAUGCGUAGAUAUGACGGAGGGACACCGAUGGCGAAGGCAGUCCCCUGGACCUGUACUGACGCUCAUGC
rnacentral:rRNA from 1 species